rnacentral:lncRNA from 1 species
AGUGAGGAACAAGCAUGCCUGUGCCAGACGAACCCUUCCUUCCUCUUGGGUGACUCUGGAGGGCCCAGGCCCAUUGCUUCCUUCCUGCUUGGUUAUUUCAGGAAAGAGUCAAUACCCAGAGCACCACCACCAGGAGGCCUGGAAGCAACUCACUGUCCCACUUGAUGUGGCCUGUGGACCACCAGAAAUUUCAGAGCGUCACAGAGAUGUGUGGUUCGAUCCUGAGCAGACAUGGAUGGUCACAAAGGUGAAUUCACUUGCUCAAGAUCCAACACACACAAAAUGGAGGUGGUUCAAACCCAGGUGUGUCUGACUGCAGAGCCUGUGUUCUUCCCAGUAGAGAUGUGGAUGCAGCACAAAUGGUAGAAAGGACCUGAGACUUAGUCAGAAGACCUCAGUUCACCCAAGGUAUCUGCUAUGCCCAAGGCCUCUGCUCAGUGCUGAGGAAACAAGCAUGGACAAGAUGUGGCCUCCACCCUGAGGAGCUCCUAAAUCUAGGACAGAGUAAAUCUGUUAGAAAUGUCUUCUCUGCACAUAAUUUAAGCUCUACCAACUGUUAACUUCUUUUCAUUUAUCCAAGUUUUGCCAGGUACCACACCAAUAAAAAAAGACUCAGUCCCUCUUCCUUCAGA